rnacentral:rRNA from 1 species
CAUAUCAAUAAGCGGAGGAAAAGAAACCAACAGGGAUUGCCCUAGUAACGGCGAGUGAAGCGGCAACAGCUCAAAUUUGAAAUCUGGCGCAAGCCCGAGUUGUAAUUUGUAGAGGAUGCUUCUAGGUAGCGACCGGUCUAAGUUCCUUGGAACAGGACGUCAUAGAGGGUGAGAAUCCCGUAUGUGACCGGCCCGCACCUUCUACGUAGCUCCUUCGACGAGUCGAGUUGUUUGGGAAUGCAGCUCUAAAUGGGAGGUAAAUUUCUUCUAAAGCUAAAUACCGGCCAGAGACCGAUAGCGCACAAGUAGAGUGAUCGAAAGAUGAAAAGCACUUUGGAAAGAGAGUUAAAAAGCACGUGAAAUUGUUGAAAGGGAAGCGCUUACAACCAGACUUCUGGGCGGUGUUCCGCCGGUCUUUUGACCGGUCUACUCGCCGUCCCGAGGCCAACAUCAUCUGGGACCGCUGGAUAAGACCUCAGGAAUGUAGCUUCCCUCGGGAAGUGUUAUAGCCUGUGGUGAUGCAGCGCGUCUCGGGUGAGGUCCGCGCUUCGGCAAGGAUGUUGGCGUAAUGGUUGUCAGCGGCCCGUCUUGAAACACGGACCAAGGAGUCUAACAUCUAUGCGAGUGUUCGGGUGUCAAACCCCUACGCGUAAUGAAAGUGAACGGAGGUGGGAAGCGUAAGCUGCACCAUCGACCGAUCCUGAUGUCCUCGGAUGGAUUUGAGUAAGAGCAUAGCUGUUGGGACCCGAAAGAUGGUGAACUAUGCCUGAAUAGGGUGAAGCCAGAGGAAACUCUGGUGGAGGCUCGCAGCGGUUCUGACGUGCAAAUCGAUCGUCAAAUUUGGGUAUAGGGGCGAA